GACGAACGCUGGCGGCGUGCUUAACACAUGCAAGUCGAACGGAAAGGCCCUGCUUUUGUGGGGUGCUCGAGUGGCGAAUGGGUGAGUAACACGUGAGUAACCUGCCCUUGACUUUGGGAUAACUUCAGGAAACUGGGGCUAAUACCGGAUAGGAGCUCCUGCUGCAUGGUGGGGGUUGGAAAGUUUCGGCGGUAGGGGAUGGACUCGCGGCUUAUCAGCUUGUUGGUGGGGUAGUGGCUUACCAAGGCUUUGACGGGUAGCCGGCCUGAGAGGGUGACCGGCCACAUUGGGACUGAGAUACGGCCCAGACUCCUACGGGAGGCAGCAGUGGGGAAUAGUGCACAAUGGGCGGAAGCCUGAUGCAGCAACGCCGCGUGCGGGAUGACGGCCUUCGGGUUGUAAACCGCUUUCGCCUGUGACGAAGAGUGAGUGACGGUAAUGGGUAAAGAAGCACCGGCUAACUACGUG
rnacentral:rRNA from 1 species